AUUGAACGCUGGCGGCAUGCCUUACACAUGCAAGUCGAACGGCAGCACGGGGGCAACCCUGGUGGCAAGUGGCGAACGGGUGAGUAAUGCAUCGGAACGUGCCCAGUAGUGGGGGAUAACCCGGCGAAAGCCGGGCUAAUACCGCAUACGACCUACGGGUGAAAGCGGGGGACCGUAAGGCCUCGCGCUAUUGGAGCGGCCGAUGUCUGAUUAGCUAGUUGGCGGGGUAAAGGCCCACCAAGGCGCAGAUCAGUAGCUGGUCUGAGAGGACGACAAGCCACACUGGGACUGAGAAACGGCCCAGACUCCUACGGGAGGCAGCAGUGGGGAAUUUUGGACAAUGGGCGCAAGCCUGAUCCAGCCAUGCCGCGUGCGGGAAGAAGGCCUUCGGGUUGUAAACCGCUUUUGGCAGGAACGAAACGGCGCAAGCUAAUACCUUGCGCUAAUGACGGUACCUGCAGAAUAAGCACCGGCUAACUACGUGCCAGCCGCCGCGGUAAGAC
rnacentral:rRNA from 1 species